UCCUCUCUUGCCGCUCCUCCUCGGAGUGAUGGGCGUGGACGAGCGAGGGAGACACCGACUGCUCCAGCUGGAGAGAGAGAGAGAGAGAAUAUGAGAUGGGAAUUGGGAGAGCCUGGCGGCAGUAGAGCUCACCCUCUCGUUGAGCGCCCUGGCCCUGGACGCGAGCUCCUCUCUCUCGGCGCGGCUCUCGGCCAGCUCUUCCUGAAGAAGGCGUACUUCCUCUUGAAGCUCUGCCCUCUCCUGCUCAGAGCCGACCAGCAGAUGGGACUCCAUGAUGGCAGUGGCAGCGUUAGCUAGAAACCAAGAAGCCAUUAGACAGCGGCGAAAACAUCAAUAUGAUGCCAACACGAUCGCAGACAUCAUCAGACGGAGACUAUGAAGCUCGUCGCCACGGUCGCGCAGCAAGAGGGACGAUAUCUGACGCACGGGACGGGACCGGACGGGAGAAAACAUCGGUUUGGGCAUCAAAUAUGGAUCUGCGACUGGAUCGACCGAAGCCUUUCCAAAUAACGGCUUUUAUGCAACUCAUCCAAUGAGUUUACAGCGUCUGAAAGCACCGGGGCUUCCAUAAUUUGCAAGUGAAUCCACCUUUAGAAACUACGAUCAAUGACAAUACGGACACACAAUGACAGACAAUAUGGCGGCACAAUACAGCGAUCACGUGAUUGUGUGACGUUGGUGAUUGCAGUCUAUUGAGUUAAUCACAGCUUAAAAAUUAGUUAAUCGUAAUUCAUCGCAAAGACAAGACAAGACGGACAUAAACAUUCAACAUACUGUACAUAAGUACUGUAUUUGUCUAUUAUAACAAUAAAAAGAGAGAUCCACAAAUCAAAGAGAUCCACGGAUAGAAAGACUUGUAGUUCUUAAAAGAUAAAUUUGAGUACAAGUUACAGUAAUUUUACAUUGGGAAGUUAGGAAACCAUGACAGUCAGUGGUGGCUGCAAAUGGUAUACAAUAUGUUGUGCGUUGUGUUCAAUUAGGCGUGUUAAGAAAAAGUUUGUCUCUUGCUCCGUCCAAAUGCAUUAUGGGAAGUCGGGCAACCAUGACUGUUAGUAGUGGCUGCCAAAGCUUAAGCCAAUAAAAGGUGCGGUCCAAUGAGCGCCAGUGUCCACUCGCAUUUCUCUGCCUUUUCACUCUUAGUGUGCUAAAACGGUCUUAUUGUAAACUGUUUGAGGCAAAGCAUGAACGGGUCAUUCCGUGCAUGCGUUAAUUGCGUCAAAUAUUUUAACGUGAUUAAUCUUAAAAAAUUAAUUACCGCCCGUUAACGCAAUAAUUUUGACAGCCCUAAUUUUUAUUUACUUAAUGUUUACACUGCAUGUACAGUUGUCAAAUAUGUUAAAUUGAAAGCUGGAAAAUAAAUCAUCGGGAAACGGUUAAUUUGUAUUUUAUGCAUUGAUUCAGAUUUUCCAAUUAUAUAACAGUCUGCUUGAGCAGAUUUAUUGUCAUUAACAGUGGUGUCAACAAUAAUCGAUGCGGCGAUGCAUCCCGAUGCGGGGCAUGGACGAUGUGAUUCGAUGCGGGCAACAAGCUGAAUCGAUUCAGCGAAUUUUAAAAUAUAUAAGUACGUUCAAAAAUCUUCCCUGUGCAAUUCCAGUGAUGCAACGGAUUUGGUUUCCCCAUUUGUAAUAUUAUUCUCAUGUUUCAUUUUUUACACACUGCAUAACUCUGGUCAAGUUUCCCACCAACCUCGUAGAAGCCAAAAUGUCUCCAGAUGUCUGCUUUCAAUGUAUUAGGUGCAUCAAUAAUCUUUCUUGCUCCCUCUUUCUCCGCUUCAGCCAUUGUUAUGUUAUGUCCUAUCUCUUAGAGGUUAGAUCUUGUGCCCGAACCUGAACAGGUCUGGUCAGGCCCAAAAUGUUAAGCAUUCACGUUCGGGUCGCGUCGGGCCGCUGCGCCGGACUAAUAAAUUAUUUUUAAAAAAUGGGAUAAAACCGAGAGCAGGCUCUCUGUAUUGUGCAUUUGCUUGUGCACGCACAUGAAUGCAGUGUCGCCGCCCGCUUUUUCUUCUCCUCCGCUGUGGCGCUUGCAAUUCGUUAUGAAAGACACUUUUAUUUAUGUACACAAAGGCAACACGAAUCUGAUCCUUUUGAAUCUUCUCCUCUGUGUGUCUGCAAAAUCGCAUUUAAAAUUUUUAAAAAAAAUUUUUAUAUUAAACUUUCCCAGCGUUAUUUCGUUGUGUAAAUGCUUUUAUAAUGAUCAUAAAAACAUGUAGACUAUUUAAAC